ensembl:lncRNA
GUAAAGGUUUAUAAUAAGAUUAAAGGAAAUUAAUGAGAGAUGUGAUACUGUUUAGACUGGGUUAUUAGUAAAGUAUCCUAUUACAGUCAAUUACAGUUUUUCUCAUUUGCUAAGACACACUAAAUGAAACUGGGAUCCGCUUGAUCUUCAUCAUCACAUUAUUAGCACAGCAGAAGUCUUCUCUUGCAAAUGUUUUAACACUUUUUCAUUUGUUUCACACAUUUUUCACACCCUUUUUCAAAACAGUUACCACAGAUCUCAUUGAAAGGCCCCAAACUCUAUUGGAUUCACUGUGUUGAACAAAAGAAAAAAAUCUAUUCACAGCUGAUAGAAACUACUUGCAUAAUUAUAAAUCUCUAUGCACCUGUGUGAAACUCAUUUGCACAACUCUUCAAUCAGCAAUCAGUCCUCAUCCAUCUAUAAAAGAUGCCACCUCUGUGUUGCUAUUUGCAAGCAUGGAUCAAAGAGGCCAUAGGCACGGAAGGAGAGUAAGAGGCCAUGGCAGAGGGGCCCGAGGAAGAGGAGUUUGUAUGCGUGGUGGAGGAGCUGCAGCAGCAAGAGGACAAAAUCGAGCUCAAGUUUCAAAUGAAAUUCGGGCAACAAUUAUUGACCAUGUCAUCAAUCAUGGCUUGUCCUUUAGAAAGGCUGGACAAAGGGUCCAGCCCAUUCUGAGUCGGAGCACUGUGGCAUCUAUUGUCAGGCUUUUUCGGAAUGAGAACAGAAUCCACACAUUGCCACACACUGGUGGCAGAGGAAAGAUAUUUAGUAUUGAACAGGAGUCUGCCAUUGUAGAUAUGGUAGUGGCAAACAAUGCAAUCAGACUGCGUGAAAUCCAGGCAGCAGUAAUUGCAGAUCAGGGAGCAUUUAGAAAUAUAAACAGUGUGAGUUUGGCAACUAUAGAUCGAGUCCUUAAACGAAACCAUGUCAGAAUGAAGCAGCUGUACAGAGUUCCAUUUCAAAGAAACUCUGACAUCGUAAAGGAGGCACGAUUCCAGUAUGUGCAGAGAAUAAUGGAGCUUGAAGCUGAAGGGGCACAUCACAAAUUCAUUUUUGUGGAUGAAGCCGGCUUCAACCUCUGUAAAGUGAGGCGACGCGGGAGGAACAUCAUUGGGCAGAGGGCCACUGUCACAGUGCCAGGUCAGAGGGGUGCCAAUAUCACCAUGUGUGCUGCCAUCUCCAAUGAUGGAGUCCUUUGCCACAUACCAACUAUUGGCCCAUACAAUACAGAACGCCUCAUCACAUUUCUUGAUGCAGUGAAAGAAUUACUGAUUCCACCCGAAGAGAGAGGGCUGUUGAGGCCUGGCAUGACUCUGUAUGUCAUAAUUUGGGACAAUGUGGCUUUCCACCACUCUCGCCUUGUGAAUGAAUGGUUUGCAGCACAGCCUCGUAUUAUGAUACAAUUCCUCCCUGCAUACUCUCCUUUUCUGAACCCAAUCGAGGAGUUCUUCUCUGCUUGGAGGUGGAAGGUGUAUGAUCACCGGCCAUAUGAGCAGAUGCCCCUCCUGGAGGCAAUGAAUGCUGGUUGCCUGGCAAUAGGUGCAGAGGACUGCCAGGGAUGGAUACGCCAUGCAAGGAGGUAUUUCCCUUGGUGCAUUGCAAGGGAAAACAUUCAGUGCGAUGUUGAUGAGAACCUGUGGCAUAAUCGUCAAGAACGAAUGGACUAAAUGUGAAAGAUAAAAUGUAUCUUUUUUUUUUUUUUUUUUAAAGGUAUUUCCACCCAUAAGUUUCCUUUGGUAGCUUUUUUUUUCCAGUAUCCAUGUGAGUUUGUAAAGUAUCAUAUUUCAUAUUGAUGGCUGCAUUUUGUAUUUUGUUGUCCAUUGUGUAAUGAUUGAUUGAAAGAAUAAAUUAAUUUGACCACAAGUUGUGGUGUUUGAUGGAAAUAUUUGCUUAUGUUGCAUGUUUUUUAAUGUUUUGUGAGUGUUAGAGCAAAAUGGUCAUUUUGGCCAUUGAGCUUCAGUUUUGCUUCAGUUUUAUCCUGUGUGUUAACGGUUUUGAAAAUGUGAUGUCAGAGUGGGCAAAUGUGUUUAAGCAAUCGAGAAAAACUGUAAAGGUAAUUAGUAAUUUUUGGGGUAACAACUCUAUUGAGUUGAUUAGUGAGGUCACUGGUUAUACAGGGAUUUCUUUAGCUAAGGGUGCUUUU